UAAAUAUGCAAUCAGAUCGCUUCACGCAACGGAAUUGAAAAGACAAGCAGUCUAUUUUGCCAUGAUUCUCUGUACAAAGUCAUAAUAGUCAAAGCUUCCAGAAUUAGUAGGAUCGGCCUCUUGCACCAUCAAUUGUACUUCGUUAUCUGAAAGCUUCUCACCUAACGUUUUCAUAUAAUCGGCAAAUUUAGCGGUUUCGAUAUAACCACUAUUGUCCUUGUCGAAAACUCUAAAUGCUUUUAUAUAUUCUUCCUCUGAUUCUGUUUCCCUUAAUUUGUUGGAAACAAAGCUCAUAAAUUUUUUUUCAUCAAUGGCAUCGCCUAAUUCAUUAGAAAGCUUUGCUAAUUCGGCAUCAGUAACAUUGAUUCCGAGACUUCUCAAAACGGAACCCACAUGACUCGUAGGAAUCAAACCGUCUUUGUCGAUAUCAUAAAGGACAAAUGCCUCUUUCAUUUCAUCGGUUUGUUCUUUGGAGGCAGGCAUAUUGUUUGCUCAAAUAACGUAAACAAAAGCUAAAGCAGGCGAUAAACGUGACAAGGAAAUAGUUUUAUAAAAAAAGGGAAAUAGCUUGAAUUCAAGAGCUAUUAUAAAUCAAAGUUAAAGCACAGAAACAAUGAUUUUGUUUGAGGUAAAUGAUUUAUGAAGUUGGUGGAGUCCAUCUAUCCUGUCAAACAUCCUUUAUUUGUUACCUCUCUCCACUAAAGUAACGGGUUUGCUGGACUGGUGCGGGCUAAGAAUGCUAUUAAUGGAUAUAUUUAUAUUCAGAGUAUGU